AUUGAACGCUGGCGGAAUGCUUUACACAUGCAAGUCGAACGGCAGCACGGACUUCGGUCUGGUGGCGAGUGGCGAACGGGUGAGUAAUGUAUCGGAACGUGCCCAGUCGUGGGGGAUAACGUAGUGAAAAUUACGCUAAUACCGCAUACGAUCUAUGGAUGAAAGCGGGGGACCGCAAGACCUCGCGCGUUUGGAGCGGCCGAUAUCAGAUUAGGUAGUUGGUGGGGUAAAGGCCCACCAAGCCAACGAUCUGUAGCUGGUCUGAGAGGACGACCAGCCACACUGGAACUGAGACACGGUCCAGACUCCUACGGGAGGCAGCAGUGGGGAAUUUUGGACAAUGGGCGAAAGCCUGAUCCAGCCAUUCCGCGUGCAGGAUGAAGGCCCUCGGGUUGUAAACUGCUUUUGUACAGAACGAAAAGGUUUCUACUAAUACUAGGAGCUCAUGACGGUACUGUAAGAAUAAGCACCGGCUAACUACGUGCCAGCCGCCGCGGUAA
rnacentral:rRNA from 1 species